UACGUAGGGUGCAAGCGUUGUCCGGAAUUAUUGGGCGUAAAGAGCUCGUAGGCGGUCUGUCGCGUCGGCUGUGAAAACCUGGGGCUUAACUCCGGGCUUGCAGCCGAUACGGGCAGACUAGAGUUCGGCAGGGGAGACUGGAAUUCCUGGUGUAGCGGUGAAAUGCGCAGAUAUCAGGAGGAACACCGGUGGCGAAGGCGGGUCUCUGGGCCGAAACUGACGCUGAGACACGAAAGCGUGGGUAGCAAACAGG
rnacentral:rRNA from 1 species